rnacentral:rRNA from 1 species
AUUGAACGCUGGCGGCAUGCCUUACACAUGCAAGUCGAACGCGAAAGGGGGCAACCCUGAGUAGAGUGGCGCACGGGUGAGCAAUACAUCGGAACAUACCCAGUAGUGGGGGACAACCAGUCGAAAGACUGGCUAAUACCGCAUACGACCUACGGGUGAAAGCGGGGGACCGUAAGGCCUCGCGCUAUUGGAUUGGCCGAUGUCUGAUUAGCUAGUUGGUGAGGUAGCGGCUCACCAAGGCGACGAUCAGUAGCUGGUCUGAGAGGAUGAUCAGCCAAACUGGGACUGAGACACGGCCCAGACUCCUACGGGAGGCAGCAGUGGGGAAUUUUGGACAAUGGGGGCAACCCUGAUCCAGCAAUGCCGCGUGAGUGAAGAAGGCCUUCGGGUUGUAAAGCUCUUUCGGCCGGGACGAAAUCGCUCUGGUGAAUAUCCAGGGUGGAUGACGGUACCGGAAUAAGAAGCACCGGCUAACUACGUGCCAGCCGCCGCUGUAA